UUCUUUCUUCUUACCACUGUAUCUCACACCAACAAACUGCCAAAAACCUAACACACCCAUCACAAACCGCAUAAAAACACCUUAACACUACCUCCAAAAAAACCGUAAACUCACUGCAAUAUAAACCUCAUCCUACAACCACGUACUCCCUCUGAUGUUCACUCUCCACAACUUCAACAAGCGGAGCCAACACCUGCCACCAUCACGUUCCGACGCAAAAGGCUAAUCUCUCGCUGCAUCGGACAAAUCUCCAUGGAAAACCACUCAAUAACAACCAAAGACAGCUCCACCCUUGGAUCUUUCAAUGAGGAGGUUAGAUAUAAAAGCUUGACUCUCUUCUUUCCCCUCUACUGAAUCGAUUCAAGGUUACAAAAGGUGAUUUCAUCUCAGUAGCUUAAAAGGUGGUCAUGGUCAAUUGACUAGACAGGUGACGUUGUUGAUGGUGUUUUGCAAUUAUAUAGGGAACUGCAUAAAUGG